rnacentral:rRNA from 1 species
AUUGAACGCUGGCGGCAGGCUUAACACAUGCAAGUCGAGCGGGGGAAGGUAGCUUGCUACCGGACCUAGCGGCGGACGGGUGAGUAAUGCUUAGGAAUCUGCCUAUUAGUGGGGGACAACAUCUCGAAAGGAUGCUAAUACCGCAUACGUCCUACGGGAGAAAGCAGGGGAUCUUCGGACCUUGCGCUAAUAGAUGAGCCUAAGUCGGAUUAGCUAGUUGGUGGGGUAAAGGCCUACCAAGGCGACGAUCUGUAGCGGGUCUGAGAGAAUGAUCCGCGAAACUGGGACUGAGACACGGCCCAGACUCCGACGGGAGGCAGCAGUGGGGAAUAUUGGACAAUGGGGGGAACCCUGAUCCAGCCAUGCCGCGUGUGUGAAGAAGGCCUUAUGGUUGUAAAGCACUUUAAGCGAGGAGGAGGCUACUUUAGUUAAUACCUAGAGAUAGUGGACGUUACUCGCAGAAUAAGCACCGGCUAACUCUGUGCCAGCCGCCGCAGUAA